GUGAUGGCGAUUUUCAACUCAUUCCCGUUACAAACAGCCGACCUUCCUACCGAGUUCAAGUACCUUCUGCCUGGCCUGGAAGAACAAUAUCUCUCUGUCUCCCUCUUCCACUGGCCCUCACCUGCCUUCCCCUGAACAUGCAUUUUGCCUGACAGGAGACAGAGGCAGUUGAUGCUUGCAGCUUGGUCCAGGAGGCCAGCAGGACCAGAGAGAAGACCACAGCGACACAUGGGGAUGGCUGUCCCACAGGCAGAAAUGAGCAGCCGGGAGGAAGCCCAGGCAGCCAGCCACCCAGCUCCCUCCACAUCGUGGCCCUAGAACGGAGUCUUGAAGAAUAAGAAGCCACAGCUUGUCAGGGAAUCAGGCUGGAAAAAUGUUAUGAGACUGAGUAAGACCAGAGGAUUCCUCAGCAGUGCCUGGAGAAGACCAGGAGAGGAAGCAGAAGACCCUCCUCAAAGAAGCAGCCUUCACCUCCAGACCUCCCAGCGGGACUUAGACAAUGGGGUUAGGCAGUCACAUGUCUGCACGUGGAAACUUUCUGGGACUGUGCUUGGAUCCUGGCUCUGCCUUUUACUAGCCAUGUGACCUUGGGAAAAUCACUUGACUUCUCCGUGCAGGAUUCCUCAUCUGUAAAAAUGGUCUAAGAUUAGGAGCCACCUCAAGGUUGUUGUAGGAAUUAAAUUAAUUCAUGUUUAUAAAGUGCUUUGAACAGCGUUUGGCACAUGGAGAAUUAAAUGAGCAAACGGAAGAGCAGCAACCCUGAGUUACAUUUCUCAAGACACCGGGGCUCUUGAUGGCACAGCAGCAGCUUGCUAGAGCUUGGUAAAGAGACUUGGGCCUGGUACCUGAAGGGCAAUUCCUUGGCCAUGACAUUGUAGGGAAAGACCUCUAUGGGUGUUGAAAAGACAAGGCGAGGACAAGAAGAGUUGAAAAGGAGCUGUUCUGAAGCCACCUGGCUGUGGAUGGAGGAAGCCACAUGUAGCUUAGGUAGCCUGCUAUUGUAAUUUUUUCUGCAACUGAAGAAUUCGAAAUGGGUUUGGUGGGUAGCGAAGGGCAGAAUCUGGCUUCAAGGUGACAGAGUUUGCAUAGAGAUGGCCUUCUUGAGCAAAGGUAGUGACUCCUACAUUUUUUUUUUUUGUAGAGUUGUGAUACCCAUGAGUUAGUCAGCUUGGGCUAUCAUAACAAAAUACCACACAUUGGUUGGCUUAAACAACAGAAAUUCAUUUUCCUGUAAUUCUGGAGGCUGGAAGUCCAAGAUCAAGGUGACGACAGAGUUGGGUUUCCUCUGAAGCCUCUCUCCUUGGUUUUCAGAUGGGUGUCCUCUUGCUGUCUCUUCAUGUGACUGUCCCUCUGCAUGUGUGCCCCUGGGGACUCUUUCUUAUCUUAUAGUGACACUAGUUCUAUUGGAUUGAAGUGUACCCAUACGACCUCAUUUAAACUUAAUUACAUAUUGUAAGGCCCUAACUUCAAAUACAGUCACAUCCUGAGGUACUGUGUAUUAGGGCUUCAACAUAUAAAUUUUGGGGCAAUCCAGUUCAGCCCAUAAAAUCCCUUUUUGGUUGCUUGAUUCUGUUUAUUUGGUGUCAUGCCUUCCUUUUCCUAAAGAACUUCAUGAAUAGAAUUACUUUCUAAGUGAAAGGAACAAAACUGAUUUUUAUUAAAAAUUAUUUUGAGAUGCUUGUGACAAAUUUUGAAGUAAGUGAAGAUUUUCCUGGAGCUUCUACAAAAUCCUGGCUGAGAAUCCCUGCUUUCUGGACAGUUGAGAAGGAAAUACACUUAGUACAGCUGUUAGAGAGAUAUAGUUGCAACCACUGAGUGCUUAUUAUCUGCCAACUUAAAUAUAUUGCCCAAGGGAAUAACAAAUAUUCUAGUGUUCUUGUUAAGUAUAUUGUCUAAGGUCACACAGCUCUUAAACAACAGCUUCAGGAUUUGAACCUGGAAUCUAUCUGACUCCUAAGUCCAGAUGCUGUUCACCACAUUAGGUUGAAGCAUGGCCAGUGUUCAUAACAUACAACUAUGUCUCCAUAUCUUUUGCUAACCAAUGUUCUUGUAUGUGCAUACCUUACAGGGCAGCCAUUCACCACAAGCCCUACUAGAUGGCUUCCUGUAAUAAGGGUAGAACAGUAGUACUCUCCUUUUGAGAAGUUAUUUGUAAUUUUGUUGGUGGGCUGACAUUUAGGCCCUGCUCUCCAGCCCCAGAGGGGAUCCCAUAACCUAGAUCAGGCCAAUGAUGAUUAUCUCCGUGACUGUAGUGGCUGGUCCAGCGGGGAGGGUCAGGCAGGUAAGCUGGCCCAACCUGAGUCCUUCUUGAGGAUUUUAGAAACUGAAGGUAGGAGAGAAAAAUUCUCUCUUUUCUUCUGGGGAACGGGAUGAAGGUGGUGGGUAGGCAGAGCUGUUGGGAUGUGGAUCCAGGGAUUCUGGAAGUCCUGUCCUCCACCAUGUAAAGAAUACAUCCUGCAGAAGGAGAGAAGGGAGCCAGCACACAGAGAAGCAGAGUCAGGAGAUGGAGAAGGAGAAUCCUGAGAGCCUGAAGGUCCCUGGGUCCAGCCAUUGUCAAGGCCGAGUUCUACCGUCCUUAAGUUGUUUACCUUUCUUUCUUGCUUGCUUCUGUUAGAAGAUGAACACUCAAUGAAAAAUCACCAAACAUCUGAGGAAAGCCAUCAAAAUGAAAUAAACGAAACACACAAGUUCCUAAACACAAGUGAACAGCGUGGGCUGGGUUUUUGUCGCUUGGAACUGGAAACGCUGACGAUAAUGCUGACCUCUGAGCAGACCCACGUGAGGGGCAGCUGUGGUGUGGUGUGAUGAUGCUGGGAUAGGCACUCAGAUGGUUGAGUCUGAGUUUGGCUCUGAUAUUAUAUCAACUGCAUGGGCAGCUGUGGUGUGGUGUGAUGAUGCUGGGAUAGGCACUCAGAUGGUUGAGUCUGAGUUUGGCUCUGAUAUUAUAUCAACUGCAUGGGCAGCUGUGGUGUGGUGUGAUGAUGCUGGGAUAGGCACUCAGAUGGUUGAGUCUGAGUUUGGCUCUGAUAUUAUAUCAACUGCAUGGGCAGCUGUGGUGUGGUGUGAUGAUGCUGGGAUAGGCACUCAGAUGGUUGAGUCUGAGUUUGGCUCUGAUAUUAUAUCAACCGCAUCAUUUUGGGGAAGACACAAUUUCUCAGAAUUUUAUUUAGUUGUAAAAUAAAGAUAAUGAUAUUACAUGCUCUGUCUACCAUCUAGAGUUUUUGUCAAGACAAAC
rnacentral:lncRNA from 1 species